rnacentral:pre_miRNA from 1 species
CUUGUACUCCCUCCGUCCGAAAAAACUUGUCCCAAGCUUGUUGCUCAAAUGAAUGUAUCUAGCACUAACUUGAUGCUAGAUACAUCCAUUUGAGGGACAAGCUUUUUCGGACGGAGGGAGUAUCUU